AAGCGCUUGCAACCAGACUUGUUGGCGGUGUUCCACCGGUCUUCUGACCGGUCUACUCGCCGCCCGCAGGCCAGCGUCGUCUGGGACCGCCGGACAAAGGUCGUGGGAAUGUAGCUCCUCGGAGUGUUAUAGCCCGCGACACAAUACGGCGCGCCCCGGGCGAGGUCCGCGCUCCGGCAAGGACGCUGGCGUAAUGGUCGUAAGCGG
rnacentral:rRNA from 1 species